rnacentral:rRNA from 1 species
AGAGUUUGAUCCUGGCUCAGAACGAACGCUGGCGGCAGGCUUAACACAUGCAAGUCGAACGCCCCGCAAGGGGAGUGGCAGACGGGUGAGUAACGCGUGGGAAUCUACCUAGCUCUUCGGAAUAGCUCCGGGAAACUGGAAUUAAUACCGAGUACGCCCUACGGGGGAAAGAUUUAUCGGAGUUAGAUGAGCCCGCGUUGGAUUAGCUAGUUGGUGGGGUAAUGGCCUACCAAGGCGACGAUCCAUAGCUGGUCUGAGAGGAUGAUCAGCCACAUUGGGACUGAGACGCGGCCCAAACUCCUACGGGAGGCAGCAGUGGGGAAUAUUGGACAAUGGGCGCAAGCCUGAUCCAGCCAUGCCGCGUGAGUGAUGAAGGCCCUAGGGUUGUAAAGCUCUUUCACCGGAGAAGAUAAUGACGGUAUCCGGAGAAGAAGCCCCGGCUAACUUCGUGCCAGCAGCGGCGGUAAUUC